CUCAGUGGUGAACGACGUAAGCGUCCAACUCCAUGAUCAGGUACCCCUCCUCGGCGCUGAUGACCUUGCCCAAGGUGUACCCCCGCGCCAUCCGGAACAUCCCCGCGCCCCCGACGAUGGCCCGCUCGAACAGCUCGGUGAGCACCGCCCGGCCCAGGAUGGAGAAGGUGCUGCCGUUGUACUUCCCCGCGGUGAACACGAAGUUGACGGCCGAAAGCAGCGCCGGUUUCUCCAGGGAGGCCUGCGCGAGUAGCCCCUGCGCCCGCCCGAUGAGCUUCGAGUCCCGCUCGGGGCCUUCCCUCAGGAUGUCAUCGAUGACGCUGAUUGCGCCGAAGGUCUCGUAGUAGAACUCCUUGCCCGGGGGGACUGCAACCGUCAUCCCGGUGGCGUUUGCGCCGGAGUUUAUCUCGUGCAGGUAGAAGUGCAGGUGAGUCAUCUUCUCCUCAUCUGCAGCGCCAAAAGAGGCAAAAAGAACCAGAGGAAAAAGAAGAAGAAGAAGAGCGGAUAGAGAGGAGAACGCCAUGGCCAUCGAAGCUCGUGGAAGGCAAC
rnacentral:lncRNA from 1 species